rnacentral:rRNA from 1 species
UACGUAGGGGGCAAGCGUUAUCCGGAUUUACUGGGUGUAAAGGGAGCGUAGACGGCAUGGCAAGUCAGAUGUGAAAGCCCGGGGCUCAACCCCGGGACUGCAUUUGAAACUGUCGGGCUGGAGUGCAGGAGAGGUAAGCGGAAUUCCUAGUGUAGCGGUGAAAUGCGUAGAUAUUAGGAGGAACACCAGUGGCGAAGGCGGCUUACUGGACUGUAACUGACGUUGAGGCUCGAAAGCGUGGGGAGCAAACAGG